rnacentral:rRNA from 1 species
UGCGCAGGCGGUGUUUUAAGUGAGAUGUGCAAUCCCCGGGCUUAACCUGGGAACUGCAUCUCAGACUGGAACGCUAGAGUACUGGAGAGGGUGGUAGAAUUCCACGUGUAGCGGUGAAAUGCGUAGAGAUGUGGAGGAAUACCAGUGGCGAAGGCGGCCACCUGGACAGUAACUGACGCUGAGGCACGAAAGCAUGGGUAGCAAACAGGAUUAGAUACCCUGGUAGUCCAUGCCUUAAACGAUGAACACUUGGUGUGGUGGGAGUUGACCCCUGCCGUGCCGUAGCUAACGCGAUAAGUGUUCCGCCUGGGGAGUACGGUCGCAAGGCUGAA